UACGUAGGGGGCAAGCGUUAUCCGGAAUUACUGGGUGUAAAGGGAGCGUAGACGGUGAUGCAAGUCAGAAGUGAAAGCCCGGGGCUCAACUCCGGGACUGCUUUUGAAACUGUGUGACUGGAGUGCAGGAGAGGUAAGCGGAAUUCCUGGUGUAGCGGUGAAAUGCAUAGAUAUCACGCAGAACUCCGAUUGCGAAGGCAGCUUACUAAGCCAUAACUGACACUGAAGCACGAAAGCGUGGGGAUCAAACAGG
rnacentral:rRNA from 1 species